UCCUGGUCUAGUAAUAGGCGUG
rnacentral:siRNA from 1 species